GACCUUAUUAUCAGCUCUAACUCAACUUACACAUGCAAGUCUCCGCAACCCAGUGAAUAUGCCCUCAAUCCCCCCACCCGGGGACGAGGAGCGGGCAUCAGGCACAAACAUUAGCCCAAGACGCCUAGCCAAGCCACACCCCCAAGGGAAUUCAGCAGUGAUAAACAUUAAGCCAUAAGUGAAAACUUGACUCAGUUAGUGUUAAGAGGGCCGGUAAAACUCGUGCCAGCCACCGCGGUUAGACGAGAGGCCCUAGUUGAUAUUACAACGGCGUAAAGGGUGGUUAAGGAUAAACAAAAAUAAAGUCAAAUGGCCCCUUGGCCGUCAUACGCUUCUAGGAGUCCGAAGCCCUAAUACGAAAGUAACUUUAAUAAACCCACCUGACCCCACGAAAGCUGAGAAACAAACUGGGAUUAGAUACCCCACUAUGCUCAGCCGUAAACUCAGACAUCCAGCUACAAUUAGAUGUCCGCCAGGGUACUACGAGCAUUAGCUUAAAACCCAAAGGACCUGACGGUGUCUCAGACCCCCCUAGAGGAGCCUGUUCUAGAACCGAUAACCCCCGUUCAACCUCACCACUUCUAGCCACCCCAGCCUAUAUACCGCCGUCGUCAGCUUACCCUGUG
rnacentral:rRNA from 1 species